UACAGUCAAAUCAUACUGAAAACACUGGUUCUCUUUCAAUCAACAAAGUUAAGUAUCAUCAAGCCCAGUUAGUACUUAGAUGGGAGACCACUUGGGAACACCAGGUACUGUAAG